rnacentral:rRNA from 1 species
UUACGGGAGGCAGCAGUGGGGAAUAUUGGACAAUGGGCGCAAGCCCGAUCCAGCAAUGCCGCGUGUGUGAAGAAGGCCUGAGGGUUGUAAAGCACUUUCAGUGGGGAGAAAGAGGCUGUUGUUAAUACCAACAGCGGAUGAUGUUACCCACAGAAGAAGCACCGGCUAACUCUGUGCCAGCAGCCGCGGUAAUACAGAGGGUGCGAGCGUUAAUCGGAAUUACUGGGCGUAAAGGGUGCGUAGGUGGUUUUGUAAGUUAGAUGUGAAAUUCCUGGGCCUAACCUGGGGACUGCGUCUGAUACUGCGAAGCUAGAGUACUGUAGAGGGAAGUGGAAUUUCCGGUGUAGCAGUGAAAUGCGUAGAUAUCGGAAGGAACAUCAGUGGCGAAGGCGACUUCCUGGACAGAUACUGACACUGAGGCACGAAAGCGUGGGGAGCAAACAGGAUUAGAUACCCCUGUAGUCC